rnacentral:rRNA from 1 species
AUUGAACGCUGGCGGAAUGCUUUACACAUGCAAGUCGAACGGCAGCACGGGUGCUUGCACCUGGUGGCGAGUGGCGAACGGGUGAGUAAUAUAUCGGAACGUAUCCAAUAAUGGGGGAUAACUAGCCGAAAGGUUAGCUAAUACCGCAUACGCCCUGAGGGGGAAAGCUGGGGAUCGUAAGACCUAGCGUUGAUGGAGCGGCCGAUAUCUGAUUAGCUAGUUGGUGGGGUAAGAGCCUACCAGGGCGACGAUCAGUAGCUGGUCUGAGAGGACGACCAGCCAAACUGGAACUGAGACACGGGCCAGGCUCCUACGGGAGGCAGCAGUGGGGAAUUUUGGACAAGGGGGGCAAUCCUGAUCCAGCCAUUCCGCGUGAGUGAAGAAGGCCUUCGGGUUGUAAAGCUCUUUCGCAAGGGAAGAAAACUCGAUCUCUAAUAUAGGUUGAGGCUGACGGUACCUUGAUAAGAAGCACCGGCUAACUACGUGCCAGCCGCCGCUGUAA